AUUUAAAUGGCACGUGCUUGGCUGACGGAGGAUGCACGCUGCUUGGGAGGCGUGUGUAGGCCAUGUGCUGUAUUGACUAUGAGCCUCAGUGUAUAGGUAGCACUGACGGUCCCUCGGGUGUGCUGAUCCGCUUGGAGAAUUACACCACCUACAAAAACCUCAGUUAUCCGCCUGUCCCCUGACUUCUGACCCCUGACCCGCCCCUUCCCCAGAUGCAGGGAGAAAGAUCCAAAUGGAAAAACCCAGAUCCUCUGCUCACCCAGGAAUGAGGGCUUUGAGACAAGAAGUGGGGAGGGUCUCCUUUCAUUGAGAAGACUACCCAUCUUUACCAGCCAGAUUUCUAAGUGCUGCUGCUUCAUCUCUCCCUCAUGUGUUAAGAGUUUCUUCAUGUGUGCUUCAUCCUGAUGGUUCCACUUUCAUCUCUACAAUUAAAGCAGAAUCCUUACUUCAGAUCUCCACACGAUGAUUUAAGGCUUGUUCAGCUUUCACUGAUAUCCUUUUGACUAUAUUAUGCCUGUUGCAGACAUUUAAUAUUUCAUAAUGGCAUUUUUAGCACCCUCCGACUUUGAUCCUCAUUCUUUUGCAGCAGUUAUACCUAUUAACUAUGGUGUUUCACAUGGUCGUCCUACCAUCUGUCCUACAAAUGAAAGAUAUUUUCAGUAGAGAUACUGCAAGUAAGACUUUUAUUGAAAGUGUAUUUCAUAUUCAUAAACUUGCCAGGAGCAGCUCAUGCAGGAAAGCCAUUGAAGUAGAAGCAACUUUA